CACCUCCGGCGGACAGGCAGUGACUGGAGCCUCUGUGGGCACAUCCGGCAAACAGGCGAAGACCGGAGCCUCUGUGGGCACAUCCGGCAAACAGGCAAAGACCGGAGCCUCUGUGGGCACAUCCGGCGGACAGGCAGUGACUGGAGCCUCUGUGGGCACCUCCGGCGGACAGGCAGUGACCAAAGCCCCUGUGGGCACCUCCGGCGGACAGGCAGUGACCGGAGCCGUGCACGAUGAUUGUCGAUCUGGUGACCGUGAAUUCACGUGGUCGAUAUGGCCUGUCGAGGAACAACUCGCGUCGCGCCAGCUGCCGCCAGUCCUCUGAGGAGAAGGUCACCACCUGCUUCAGCACCAGUUUACCGCGAGCGGGCGGUGGCGGUCGGCCCACCUUCCUGGAGGUGCUCACCAUCCCACCGGAGGAGUUCGCCUCGCAGAUCACGCG